rnacentral:rRNA from 1 species
UACGUAGGGUGCGAGCGUUAAUCGGAGUUACUGGGCGUAAAGCGUGCGCAGGCGGUUUUGUAAGCCAGAUGUGAAAUCCCCGGGCUUAACCUGGGAAUGGCAUUUGGGACUGCAAGGCUUGAGUUUGGCAGAGGAGACUGGAAUUCCUGGUGUAGCAGUGAAAUGCGUAGAUAUCAGGAGGAAUACCGAUGGCGAAGGCAGGUCUCUGGGCUAGAACUGACGCUCAUGCACGAAAGCGUGGGGAGCAAACAGG